UAAGUGAAGCAAUGAAGGUUCCUUUCUGUGUACUUUUUGUAGUGUUUGUGUACUUUGCAGGUUAUACGUAUGCACAACUAAUCACACCUUUCCAAGCUUGUGAGAUAAAAUGUAUACAUGACAAGACAGGCGGAAGUUCAGUUUCCUUUGAAUCACCAAUAUAUACAGAUUGCCGGGAUUACUGUUUGAAGCACGCAUACGACAACUUGGGAAACUUAGGAACACUUGGAUGAGAAGUCUGUGUGACUUGCACAUGCAGUAACCGUACUAAAGAAUUAAACAAUACAGAUUUAAUUUUCACUCGA